rnacentral:rRNA from 1 species
GACGAACGCUGGCGGCGUGCUUAACACAUGCAAGUCGAGCGGUAAGGCCCUUCGGGGUACACGAGCGGCGAACGGGUGAGUAACACGUGAGCAACCUGCCCCUGACUCUGGGAUAACCCCGGGAAACCGGAGCUAAUACCGGAUAUGACACCUUCGGGCAUCCGAUGGGUGUGGAAAGAUUUAUCGGUUGGGGAUGGGCUCGCGGCCUAUCAGCUUGUUGGGUGGGGUGAUGGCCUACCAAGGCGACGACGGGUAGCCGGCCUGAGAGGGCGACCGGCCACACUGGGACUGAGACACGGCCCAGACUCCUACGGGAGGCAGCAGUGGGGAAUAUUGCGCAAUGGGCGAAAGCCUGACGCAGCGACGCCGCGUGAGGGAUGAAGGCC